rnacentral:snRNA from 8 species
CAGUGUUACAGCUCUUUUAGAAUUUGUCUAGCAGGCUUUCCGGUAUUUGCUGGAAAGCCCCU